rnacentral:rRNA from 1 species
GACGAACGCUGGCGGCGUGCUUAACACAUGCAAGUCGAACGGAAAGGCCUCUUUCGGGGGGUACUCGAGUGGCGAACGGGUGAGUAACACGUGAGUAACCUGCCCUUGACUUUGGGAUAACUUCAGGAAACUGGGGCUAAUACCGGAUAGGAGCUCCUGCUGCAUGGUGGGGGUUGGAAAGUUUCGGCGGUUGGGGAUGGACUCGCGGCUUAUCGGCUUGUUGGUGGGGUAGUGGCUUACCAAGGCUUUGACGGGUAGCCGGCCUGAGAGGGUGACCGGCCACAUUGGGACUGAGAUACGGCCCAGACCCCUACGGGAGGCAGCAGUGGGGAAUAUUGCACAAUGGGUGGAAGCCUGAUGCAGCAACGCCGUGUGCGGGAUGACGGCCUUCGGGUUGGAAACCGCUUUCGCUCAUGACGAAGCUUUGUGUGACGGUAGUGGGUAAAGAAGCACCGGCUAACUACGUG